ACACUCCCAGACUGUUUGUACUAAAAUUGGAAUGACACAGAGAAGAUUGGCAUGGUCCCUGCACAAGGAUGACUGACAAACACCUAGAACUGAACUGCUUUCCA
rfam:Erinaceus europaeus unplaced genomic scaffold scaffold00611, whole genome shotgun sequence